GACGAACGCUGGCGGCGCGCCUAACACAUGCAAGUCGAACGGAGUCAAGAGGAGCUUGCUUUUCUUGACUUAGUGGCGAACGGGUGAGUAACGCGUGAGUAACCUGCCCUGGAGUGGGGGACAACAGUUGGAAACGACUGCUAAUACCGCAUAAGCCCACGGAUCUGCAUGGAUCUGCGGGAAAAGGAUUUAUUCGCUCUAGGAUGGACUCGCGUCCAAUUAGCUAGUUGGUGAGGUAACGGCCCACCAAGGCGACGAUUGGUAGCCGGACUGAGAGGUUGAACGGCCACAUUGGGACUGAGACACGGCCCAGACUCCUACGGGAGGCAGCAGUGGGGGAUAUUGCACAAUGGGGGAAACCCUGAUGCAGCGACGCCGCGUGGAGGAAGAAGGUUUUCGGAUUGUAAACUCCUGUCGUGAGGGACGAUAAUGACGGUACCUAACAAGAAAGCACCGGCUAACUACGUG
rnacentral:rRNA from 1 species